UGGAGACUUGAUAAAGACCUGGGUACAGGUCAAAACAUUGCGGUGUCCAAUAAACCUGCUUAAAUCUAUCACAGUGAGUGUCUGAGAUGUUUUCUUUAAUACUAGGGGACACAGGCACUUGGGGGCACUAGGAGUCUAGGUGACACCAGGGACACUGGGAGACCUGGAGCACUGAGACAUGGGGGACACUGGAGACUUGAUAAAGACCUGGGUAGAGGUCGACACGUUGCGUUGUCCAAUAAACCUGCUUAAAUCUAUCACAAUGAGUGCCUGAGGUUUUUUCUUUUAUAUUAGGUGACUCUGGGAGACUAGGAAACACUGAGACACUGGCACACUAUGGAAGCUGAGCGACAUGGGGACACUGGCUGGGAGACAUUGGGAAACUGGGACUGCCCCAUGUCUCCCAGGUCUCAAAGUCGCCCAGUGUCCUAUAGUGUCUCUUAGUCUGUGUCCCCAUGUCACUAGGGAACACUGUGAGACAUGGGGUGUCCCAGUGUACCCAAGUUUCUAACCGUCCUCUAGUGUCCCCUAAUGUCCCCAAGUGUCCCUAUGUGUCUUUGUCUCAGUGUUCCCCAAGUGUCCCUUUGUCUCCCAGUGUCCCCAUGUCUCCCUGCAGCCUUUCCCCUCCCAUCCCUCACUUAACUGAGCUGUAGGCUGUCUCUGCAAGCUUGGAGCUGCUGUCUGGACUGUCUGUGCUGAGCUGCUCCCCUGUGGAUCAGUUAGUAGAGAGAGGGAGAUGCUGUAA